UGGCGUCGGGCUACACAUGCAAGUCGAGCGCGCCUUUCGGGGUGAGCGGCGGACGGGUUAGUAACGCUGUGGGAAUAUACCCUUUGGUACGGAAUAGCCUCUGGAAACGGAGAGUAAUACCGUAUGAGCCCUUCGGAGGAAAGAUUUAUCGCCAAAGGAUUAGCCCGCGUUAGAUUAGGUAGUUGGUGGGGUAAUGGCCUACCAAGCCUACGAUCUAUAGCUGGUUUUAGAGGAUGAUCAGCAACACUGGGACUGAGACACGGCCCAGACUCCUACGGGAGGCAGCAGUGGGGAAUCUUGGACAAUGGGGGCAACCCUGAUCCAGCCAUGCCGCGUGAGUGAUGAAGGCCUUAGGGUCGUAAAGCUCUUUCGCCUGUGAAGAUAAUGACGGUAGCAGGUAAAGAAACCCCGGCUAACUCCGUGCCAGCAGCCGCGGUAAUACGGAGGGGGUUAGCGUUGUUCGGAAUUACUGGGCGUAAAGCGCACGUAGGCGGACCAGAAAGUUGGGGGUGAAAUCCCGGGGCUCAACCCCGGAACUGCCUCCAAAACUAUUGGUCUAGAGUUCGAGAGAGGUGAGUGGAAUUCCGAGUGUAGAGGUGAAAUUCGUAGAUAUUCGGAGGAACACCAGUGGCGAAGGCGGCUCACUGGCUCGAUACUGACGCUGAGGUGCGAAAGUGUGGGGAGCAAACAGGAUUAGAU
rnacentral:rRNA from 1 species